rnacentral:rRNA from 1 species
GACGAACGCUGGCGGCGUGCUUAACACAUGCAAGUCGAACGAGGUGCUUCGGCAUCGAGUGGCGAACGGGUGAGUAACACGUGAGCAACCUGCCCCUGGCUCUGGGAUAGCCUCCGGAAACGGUGAUUAAUACCGGACAUGACCUUCACCUGCAUGGGUGGGGGUGGAAAGUUUUUCGGCCAGGGAUGGGCUCGCGGCCUAUCAGCUUGUUGGGGGGGUAACGGCCCACCAAGGCGACGACGGGUAGCCGGCCUGAGAGGGCGACCGGCCACACUGGGACUGAGACACGGCCCAGACUCCUACGGGAGGCAGCAGUGGGGAAUAUUGCGCAAUGGGGGGAACCCUGACGCAGCGACGCCGCGUGCGGGAUGAAGGCCUUCGGGUUGUAAACCGCUUUCACCAGGGACGAAGCGGGAGUGACGGUACCUGGGGAAGAAGCGCCGGCUAACUACGUGCCAGCCGCCG